AUGGAAAUUAAUAAUAGAAUCUCAAACUCUACCACUGGGUUAGCUGGAGUAUUUUUAAAUUUGCAUCAUUUAGAGCAAUCUGGAACUGAUACUGCCUGUCUACUAUAUAGAGUUCUAAAGGCUGCGGGGAUAUUUGCUGGAUCCAUCUUUUUGAUGCGCACCUUUGGUGACAUGAUGGUAGUUUAA
rnacentral:rRNA from 1 species